rnacentral:rRNA from 1 species
AAGAAGCGAAGCGGUGACGUGGAGCAAACCUCAGAAAGCCAAUCUCAGUUCGGAUUGUAGGCUGCAACUCGCCUACAUGAAGUUGGAAUCGCUAGUAAUCGCGAAUCAGAAUGUCGCGGUGAAUACGUUCCCGGGUCCUGUACACACCGCCCGUCACACCACGAGAGUUUACAACACCCGAAGUCAGUGGCCUAACCGCAAGGAGGGAGCUGCCUAAGGUGGGGUAGAUGAUUGGGGUGAAGUCGUAACAAGGUACC